GUUCGGAUUGUAGGCUGCAACCGCCUACAUGAAGUCGGAAUUGCUAGUAAUCGUGGAUCAGCAUGCCACGGUGAAUACGUUCCCGGGCCUUGUACACACCGCCCGUCAAACCAUGAGAGUUGGCAACACCCGAAGCCUGUAGCUUAACCGCAAGGAUGGCGCAGUCGAAGGUGGGGUCGAUGAUUAGGGUUAAGUCGUAACAAGGUACC
rnacentral:rRNA from 1 species